rnacentral:tRNA from 1 species
GCGGGUGUGGCGGAAUUGGCAGACGCGCUAGAUUUAGGAUCUAGUGCCUUUGGCGUGGAGGUUCGAGUCCUCUCACCCGCACCA